ensembl:lncRNA
UACAAUACAGUUCAUCCAAGUGUCCAAAUGGAUCAUUUCGGUUAUUUACCUAAUGAGUCUAGCAUUUCAUCAGAAAUGAUCAUUGCCCUUUCCUUUGCACUUUAUAUGUUCAGCGCCUGAAGUGUGUUAUUAAAUUAUUAGAUAUGAAUCACUGGAGCCUCGUUGAGUUGCAGAGCUCAUGGGUCUGAGCACGCAAGCGCCUUGUGAGAAAUGACGCAGGGCGGGAGUAUUUAAACCCACCAGGAGCCUGUCUUGUCCAUCAUCACAGCGGGUAUCCUCGUGCAGGACCAGAUUUGAUUGCGUCGUGUUCGCACACACGGCUGGCACGCGACAUAACACACACGUUCUUGGCUGAAGUCUGGUGUUUUGCUAUGGAAAAACGAGGCUCUUUCUCUUUGCGCGUGACUUUGCUCAUGUUCAUCUCUCUGGUUGGUUCAGAACUGUCUGGCAACUGUCCGAGAUGUGAUCCUGGUAAGGUUUUUUUCGUUUUCUUGCAUUGCUGCAAUCUUUACACGUUAAAUGGCAACCGGAAAUGGGAGUACCCAUUAAUUUUACAUGUUGUGCCUCGUUCUGUGCCCCCAGGCUUUAUUCCCCAGGGCUGCAAGUGCAUCCGCUGUCCAAAGAACACAUACUGGUUGAUGAGGCAGGGCCAUGCCUUCUGCGAGCGAUGUACCAUGGUCUGCUCAGCUCAGCGACACUUGGUGGAAGUAAGCGCCUGCACGAGCACCUCGAAUCGCGAGUGCCACUGCCAGGCAGGUUUCUUCUGUACCAGUGCCGCACAGUACACUUGCCGAAGGUGCAAGCCAUGUCCAGAGGGCACCUUCUCAAAUGUCACUUCCCGUUCUAAGUCCUGCCAGUCAUACACAGAUUGCACCACUUUGGGAAUGGCAGUGAUUACAAAGGGAAGUAGGACUCACGAUCAAGUGUGUGGCUCGCUCAUGACUGCCCUUAAAUAACCCCCGGUUACGAACUUUCAGCUAGCUAUGCCAAAUGCAAAGCAAUCUGAGAUGUGGAGACUUGGGCAACAGGGGCUGUUGAAGCAAGAAAGAAGUCCAUUUAAGAAAAAAGCCAAAGAAUGUAGAUAUGAAAAAUUUAGCAAACCUCAGCAAAAAAGGAUGCAAAAUACUGCUGUCUCCAUCAUACAACAGCAUAUCAUUUUUUUAAAAUAUAUCUCUAUUUAUUUUGUGAGUUAUUGUAUUCUUAGCGGCUUACAAGUGCUGUAUACAGAUGACACAUUUCUGGAAAAGUGUUACAGGAAGCAGUCUUUCUUGGGGUCUGAUUCAGCCUGUUGAUUAAUGCCUUCCUAAGUCCCAGGUUAGUCAUGUCAACUUUACCAGUCAAACCACAUCAGUUACAAGCCCUGGUGUUAUCUUAUAUUUGCAUUUAUUCAGCAACAUACAUGUCGGAGAAAAUACAAUGUGUGUAUUACAUCAGCAGAAAGAGAGACGUAGAUGCAGACGCGUGAUUAUUAUCCGUUAUUCAACAAUUACAAUCAUGAAAAGCUUGAUUAUAAAUCUUGGAAAAGGAUCUUCAAUGCAGUCAUCAAGUCUAGGUCACAAAAUUUACAUAAUGAGUGAAAAUGCAGACCAUACUAAAUCAAAACCACACCACUACACUUCUAAGAUCAUCAGUACCAUGUUUCAAGAAAUUACAGCAAGUUAAUCUGGGGGAAAAAAAAAAAAAACUUGUCAGUUUUUUUUCUUUUUUUGUGCAGCUCUUCAACUUGUGAAGCUGGCAGUGAACUACUGAGAUUUGUAAAAUUUUAAGCCAGUGAAAUACUUUGUUGUUAGUCUAAGUUCAGGUUUCAAGUCUGUUGUCAUAGGUACAAGUACUGUGUACAAGGAUCAUGAAAUUCUUCUUGAAUGUUUCUCCACAGACUAUGAACAAAAACAAUAGAAAUACUGCACAUACUGUUUAUGUACAUGAUUUGCACCCAAGGAUUGCACUGCUAUUUGAAAGUACAAAGUGAACUGAUAAACUUAAGUAGUAAUGAGCCCUAGCACUGGUUAUUUUAGCUUUAACAUAUUUUCUAAAAAACAAAAAAAAAAAAAAGCAAGUAAAAUCUAUUUAUACACAUGUAACUGCCUCAACCCUACCUUGCAUUAUAGUUACUUUUCACAAAUAAUACACAGUAUUGUCCAGAGGCAGCCGAACAGCCAUAAAAGAAUGUUGCAUACCCUGUAGCGAUUUGGAACUAUGAAUGGUUGACGUGUAAAUAACGACUGAUUUAUCCUGUAAACAUUUCCAUUUUAAAUUAAAAUACCGGGCAAACAUCCAUUCUGUCUCUUUACUUUAUCGAGCAGCACUUUGUCAAUAUAGCCUAAUAAGCAAAUUAGAGUUACGGACUGGCGUCCCGUCCUGGGUGUGUCCCCUUCCCCCUCUGGCCUUACGCCCUGUGUUGCCGGGUAGGCUCCGGUUCCCCGUGACCCCGUAUGGGACGAGCGGUUCUGAAAAUGUGUGUGUAUGAAAUACAAUACUUCAACACGUCUUCAGUUUGAACAUCCAAUUAUUUGCCUUCAACUGUAAUUUCCAGGGAUCAAGAAAGUUGUUCCUUAAGAUUCUUUAAAAUUGAGGCUUUAAUGUGAAGUGCUAUAGAAUGCAGUAUACCUCUACCUCCACAAUAUUGGCACUGGAAGUCUGUUCGUAACUUGAAUUGUUCAUAAGUCCAACCAUUUUGUCAUAAUCAAUAAAAGCAGCUAAAACCU